AACGCACGAGACCUGCGGACCUGCGGAGGGAUCAUUAAUGGAUAAACUUGGUCAAGCUGUUGCUGGUCUCUCGAGACAUGUGCACGCUUGCCACCAACUUUAACCACCUGUGCACCUUUUGUAGACUGGAAACGUUUCUCGAGGCAACUCGGAUUGAGAAUUGCUGCGCGCAAGCCAGCUGUUCUUGUGUUUCUCAGUCUAUGUUUUCAUAUACUCCUAAUGUAUGUAAUCGAAUGUAUU
rnacentral:misc_RNA from 1 species